rnacentral:rRNA from 1 species
UACAGAGGGUGCAAGCGUUGUUCGGAAUCAUUGGGCGUAAAGGGCGUGUAGGCGGUAUGUUAAGUCAUGUGUGAAAUCCCUCGGCUCAACCGGGGAACGACGCAUGAAACUGGCAAGCUAGAGUACCAAAGAGGGUGGUGGAAUUCCCGGUGUAGUGGUGAAAUGCGUAGAGAUCGGGAGGAACACCCGUAGCGAAGGCGGCCGACUGGACCACACCUGACGCUGAGGCGCGAAGGCCAGGGGAGCGAACGGG